GGAGGAUGCAUGGGAUCUGGAGUCCAGAGAGAAAGUGAGAGAUACCCUGUGGCUAAUACCAUAAGGCAUUAGACAGCAUGAAGUGCUCGAGGUGGGGAUAGGGGUGCAGAGACCUUCUUCCUAGGGAGGUGCCAACAGAUGAGCCUGUAGGGAGGAAGAGGGUCUCAUAUGCCUGUGGGAGUCUGUGUUGGGUGGGCUUAUGGGGCUGUGACCCUGACUCUUGUUCUCCCUCUGGAUUAGGGUCUUGGUUUUCCUGGAGACCCUGGCCCCCCAGGAGAAGGUGGCUCAUGACCAGGACAGUGUUAACGGUGACUAUGGCAAGGAUGGUGAGCCAGUACAGCCCGUGAGUGACCAAUGUCCCUGCCACCCCCACUGAGCUCCAGCCUUCAGCCCCUUACCCCUCUUUUCUGUGCCCUACUCCUGAGGGGUCCCUUAGCUGGAGGCCAACACUCACCCACCCCAAUUCCUCUCAUUCUGUGGAUCCUCUGGUCCCACUGGGGAGAAUGGACUACCUGGACCACAUGGAAAGCAGGGUCAGCUAAGAAUAGCCAUGACUCAAGGGUCAGCUAAGAAUAGUCAUGACUCAAGGGUCAUUUAGGACACAGGAAGAUACCAGAUGAGGAAACUCUCCCCAAGUCCUAAACUCAUUCACAAAUUAGAACACAUAGGUCCAGCCCAGGCACAGUGGCUGAAGCCUGGAAUCCUCCCGCUUCCUGCUUCGGGAGACCAAGGCAAGAGGAUCUCUCGAAGUGUGAGUUGGAGGCCAGCUUGGGCGACACAAUCAGGAAAAGCAAGUGGCCACCAGGUGGCGCCCAAGAACUGGGCCCGAGUUCCCUGGGAGGAAUCUGCACGCAGCCCUGGGAUGGCACAGGGAUGCCUCACGGGACACCUGGCCUCGUCCUGGUAGCCCCUUGCUUGCAUUUCCCGGCCCUGGGGUGUCCUCCCCGACUGCACAUGCAUGUAGAGACCAUUCCUCCUUCUCCAAAGAGGGAUUUGGAACAAUUCUCACAUGACCUGACGAGGGACAGUGGCUGUGCUCAGGGUCCCUCUUUUGUCCUCAGAGCAUGACCAGGCCUGUGGCUCUUGCUCAUUGCCCAAGAGCAUGGGAGGUUGCCCGUGGCAAGGCCCUGGAGGACCCUGCUGUGCUGCCUGGGACCAGGAGGCCCGGCUGCCUUCUCCCAGCACCUCUCCCAGUUAGGGUACUGUGCAGGAAAUGGGUGCAGAGGCCAUAGUGGUGGCUGCUCCUGGGGUCCCAGCAGCUCUAGCUGAGGCAGGAGGAACCAGGGAGCCCAGGAGGCUGAGGCCCCUGUCCUACUGCUCUGGUCGUGCUGCAGUCUCUGUCACCACCAACAACUGCAGUGAGGUGAGCCACUGGGCUGCAGGCUCUAGCCUCCAGCCUGUGACAGAUGCCUCCUCUUUCUGACUCCUCCUGUAGCAGGGCACGGAGAAGCUCUCGCUCAUCGCUGCCUCCUACCACUCCGAACAUGCUGCAGUCUCGUUGACCACGCUGCAGUCUUGGUGGCCACCACCAACUGCAGGGAGCCUGGCCAGGUGCCGCAAGUUGCAGCCUCCACCUCCUCCUCUAAGUCGGGCUUGGAGCAGCAGCGGGAGCAGUCACAGAAGAGGCUGGAAUGGUGGAAUGCACCCUCAGUAUGCAUUAUAUAUAGAGGUUUCGGCAAUGAGGGCCUGGACUUUGUGUUCUGAUUGGAUGGGGGAAACCUCUAGGCUUUAUCUUCAUGCCCUGAUUGGUUAUCCUAAGAGUUGCUCUCAUCCAGUCUUCUUUAUAAGUGGUCAUCUUUGUAAGUUCAUGCCCACUGGGAGUUACUGAAGUUGUGAAUGAUUACAUUUAAACUUAUCCUGUAAUUUUAGUCUGAUUUAUUAAUUCCACCUAUCUCCUUAAGCAAAUUAUUCUCUAUAGUGAUGACCCAAGCAAAUUCCUGUCCCAAGAUGGUAUCAAGAUGAUACCCAAGUUCCUCUCCAGAAUGGUAUCUGGAUAUAUGUGGAGGGAAAUAUUUUUUCUAGGCCUGUAUUAAAUAUGGCACUAAAGCUUAGUGGCUUAAAACAAUACACUGUUAUUAUCUCACAGCUUCUGUGAAUAAGUAGUUCAGGAGAGUGUAGCUGGGUGAUUCUUGCCAAGAGUCUCAUAAGGUUGCAGUCAAUCUGUUGGUGAGAAUUGUAGUUACUUGAAGACUUGGAGUUGAAGAAUUUAUAUCAAAGAUGGCUUACUUAUGGCAAUUGGAUGGAAGCCCCAGUUUCAGAAUGGCUGCUGGCAACAGGUCUUUUUACUUGCCACAUGGACCUCUCCAUAGGCUGACUGAAUGUCCUCCCAAUGUGUCAUCUGGCUUUCUCCAGUGCAAAAGAUCAAAGAAGAGAGUAUGAAGGAACCCGUAAUGCUCUUUAUAAUUUUGUCACAGACCGUCACUUCUGCCAUACUCUAUUGUUUAGAAGUUAGUCAUUAAGUCCAGCCCACACUCAAAAGAACGAGAAUUAACCUCCACCUUUGGAAGAGAGGCUAGUCAAAGCACUUGUGGACAUGUUUUGAAACCACAAAGGGGUAUGGCUGCCAGUCUCCAAGAUGGCCGCCAGUGAUUCUCAUCAGCUGUUAUUAAUACAUUUGUAUAGUCCCUUCCCACAAGAAAAAAGAGUUGAUCUGUUUAAUUAGUAUUAUUUUGUUGAAAUGACAGAGUCUGACUUGCAAGUUUAGGUCAUAAGAAGAAUUUUGACUUCUGCCUUAUUCUCUAUUGGAUCAAUAUCCCUAGGGGAAGCUAGAUGCAAUGUCAUGAAAUCAUUCAAACAGUCCCAUGGAACAAUCCAUCUAGCAAGGAACUGAUAUCUCCUAGCAAUAGCUGGCAUUAACUUACAAGUCGUAUGAGUGGGCCAUCUUAGAAUUGGAUUCUUCAGUCCAAAUCAAGUCUUCAGAUAACUGUAGCCCUGGCUGACAUCUUGAUUACAUCCUCAAGAGAGACCCUGAGCCAGAAUCACUCAGUUAAGCCACUGAGUUCUUUUUGCCAAAAACUUUUUUUUUACCAAGUUCUUUUUGCCACCAACUUUAUUGAGGUAUAAUUGACAAUUAAGAUUGUAUAUAUUUAAGGAAUACAACUUGAUGAUUUGAUAUACACAUACAUUGUGAAAUAAUCGUGAUAAUUAGGUUAACAUAUUCAUUACUUCACAUAAGUACCAUUUUCGUGUGUGUGUGUGUGUGUGUGUGUGUGUGUGUGUGUGUGUGUGGUGAGAACACAUGAGAUGUAUCCUCUUAGAAAAUUUCAAGUAUACAAUAUAUUAUUGUUAACUACAGUCAUAUUAUUGUAUACUAUGUCUCCAGAACUUAUUCACCUUGCGUAACUGAGAUGCUGUACCCUUGACCAAUGUCUCCCCCUUUUCUUCUCCCUCCAGCCCCUGGUAACUACCCUUCUACUUUCCAGUUCUAUACAUUUGACUCUUUUAGAUUCCACACAUAAGUCAAAUUUUUGACCCUUAGGAGCUGGGUGAAUAAUAAAUAUUUAUUGUUAUUUUCAGCCUUAUGAUUUUAAGUUAAUUUGUUAUGCAGUAAUAGAAGUUGCCACAUGAAGCUAUGACACUGGUUAACUCAUUUAUUCAGUAAACAUUUGCUAAGAGCAGACUAAGUGCCAGGAUCAAUUUUAUAAUUGGGGGUACAGGGUUAAGUCAAAAUGGCAGACUAGAAGCAGAUCAUGUGCACUGCUGUCAUGGAGAGGAAACAAAAUGGCUAGUGAACACUGAUCUUGCCAUGUGAUCCCCUAAGAAACCACAUCAGCAUCCAUGAAGGCAGCAAGGGGACACAGAGAGGAGAGAGGAGUGAAGCUGAGCAGCCCAUCUGUGAUCAGCAUGGAGCUAGAAGAAGCUCCCAAACAUAGGGAAAGAGUAAGUGAUUGAGAGCCCCUGGGGGAUUCACAGUCUUCACAGGGACCUGUGCAAGCCUUGGAACAGGAGAAUCUCUUUGACCCACUCCCUGCACCUCUAAGCCAAUGCAGAGAGCCACCCAGAGUUUUGUGGAGGCAACUCUCAAGUCCCUAGGGACUGCUGGAAGCCUUGGACCCUGGAACAGACCAGCACCAGUGCCAUAGCCCCAACAGAGGCUGCAGUCAUGGUACCCGAGGGCAGUAAGAUUGCUCCACCCCAAAUCACUAGACAAAGUUCAGCACCAGCCUCUGGCCCAAUGGUCCUGCUUCUGUUUUCACUUCACCAACAGGUUCAGCCUCCUGUUCCUCCAGGAAACACCCAAACAACAGGAUAGGCAACUUCACCCAAUCCCUGCCAGUUGUAGCCAGGCAGGCCAUACCUGCUAGAGCUUCCAGCCCCGUGGUACCACUUCUGUCUGAAUUCUGCUGACAAGCACAGUCUCUUGUUCUCCUAGGAAACACCUUAAUGGCAUGGUGAGUGACUCCACCCACUGCCACUGCUCAAGGCCAGCAGCCCACACCUGCUAGAGUUUCCAGCCCAACAGUCCUGCUUUUAUAUGAACUCUGCAGGUGGGGGCAACUCCAUGUUCCCCUGGGAAGCAGCUGGACAGCAGAUUAGGUGACCCCACUCAUCCCUGCAACUCCUAGCCAAGCAGUUCUUGCUGGCUUGGGUGGUGCCCAAGCAGUGGGGGAGUCCUCACUCUUGCAUCACUAAAAGAAGUGAGAUGCCCAAGUUCACAGGUCAGUGGAGGAGUGGGUUGUGCCUCCCUCUGUACAGCCAUUCCGGAAAGGAUAUGACCUGUUUGCCAACUGUGGCCCCUGCAUGAGGAAGCCCCAUGGACGAGAACACCUAAUAAAAGAAAUACAGGCAUGGAGUCAGUGAUCAGAGGGGGCUCUUCCAAGGCUUAGGGGUGGACAAGGUGAGGGGGUCAUCUCUACCCCACCCCCUAAAAAGCACUAUGCUAACUUGAGGAAAACACAAAAGAGCUGUGCAGCUGAGAAAAGCCUAUCUGCCUGUCCGCUGGCUAACACUUUUAAGUGCCACCUACUGGAUCACAGCAGAAAAUACAAUACAAAAAUAUUUUGCCAGUACACAGCACCUGUGAAAACUAAGGCAAAGAUUAAGCAACAAAUAAACAUUCUGUACAUACUCGUGACCCUCUGAAAACACCCUAAAAAGAAGCCAACUGACUGUACUCAACUUACAUCACAGUUAAAGGAACACUAACCCUUACACAUGAAAAAGAAUCGAUGCAAAAACUCUGGCAACUCAAAAAGCCAGUGUGCCCCCUUACCUACAAACAAACACACUAGUCCCCCAGAAAUGGUUCUUAGCCAGAUUGAGAUGACUGAAAUGAUGGAAAUAAAAUUCAAGAUCUGGAUGGCAAGGAAGAUCGAUGGGAUCAAAGAGAAAGUUGAAUCCAAGGAACCCAGUAAAACAAUCCAGGAGCUGAAGGAUUAAACAGCCAUUUUAAGAAAGAACCAGCUGGGUGUGAUGGCUCACGCCUGUAAUCCCAGCACUUUGGGAGGCCAAGGCGAGUGGACUACUUGAGGUUAGGAGUUUGAGACCAGCCUGGCCAACAUGAUGAAACCCUGUCUCUACUAAAAUACAAAAAUUAGCUGGGCGUGGUGGCACACAUCUGUAAUCUCAGCUACUUGGGAGGCUGAGGCAGGAGAAUCACUUGAACCCGGGAGGUGGAGGUUGCACAGGCUGGAGUGCAGUGGCACGAUCUCGGCUCACUGCAAGCUCUGCCUCCCAGGUUCCCACCAUUCUCCUGCCUCAGCCUCCCGAGUAGCUGGGACUACAGGUGCCCGCCACCACGCCCAGCAAAUUUUUUGUAUUUUUAGUAGAGACGGAGUUUCACCAUGUAAGCUAUGAUAGUCUCCAUCUCCCGACCUCGUGAUCCGCCUGCCUUGGCCUCCGAAAGUGCUGGGAUUACAGGUGUGAUGGCUCACGCCCAGCAUUUUUUUUUUUUUUUUUUGAGACAAAGUCUCGCUCUGUUGCCCAGGCUGGAGUGUAAUGGCACAAUCUCGGCUCACUGCAACCUCCCCCUCCCAGGUUCAAGCAAUUAUCCUGCCUCAGCCUCCUGAGUGGCUGGGAUUAUAGGCACCCACCACCAUGCCCAGCUAAUUGUUGUAAUUUUAGUAGAGAUGAGGUCUCACCAUCUUGGUUCGGCUGGUCUCAAACUCCUGACCUCAGGUGAUCCACCCACUUCAGCUUCCCAAAGUACUGGGAUUACAGGAGUGAGCCACCAUGCCCAGCCCCACAAAAAUUUUUAAAAAAGAAUUAAAAAGUGAAUAAAAUCUUUUGAGAAAUAUAGGACUAUGUAAAAAGACCAAACCUACAUUUCAUUGGCAUUCCCAAAAGAGAAGUAACUUGGAGAAUAUAUUUGAAGACAUAGUCCAUGAAAAAUUUCCCAAACUUGAUAGAGAGGGGAACAUACAAAUUCAAAAAAUACAGACAACCCUACAGAUACUACACAAGAUGACCAUCCCCAAGGCACAUAGUCAUCAGAUUCACCAAAGUCAAAGUAAAAGAAAGACAUCUUAAAGGCAGCUAGAGAGAAAGGUCAGGUCAUCUGUAAAGGGAACCCCAUCAGGCUAGCAGUAGACGUUGCAACAGAAACUUUACAAGACAGAGGAGAAUCAAGGUUUAUUUUCAGCAUUCUUAAAGAAAAUAAUUUCCAAGCAAGAAUAUUGUGUCCCACCAAACUAAGCUUCAUAAGUGAAGGAGAAAUAAAAUACUUUUCAGAUAAGCAAGUACUUAAAGGAGUGCUAAACAUGAAAACAAAGAACUGAAACAUGCUCCUUCAAAAACACACUCAAGGACAUAGCCUACAGAGAAUGUAAAGCCACCACACCACUAAGUCUACAAAAUAAACAGCCAACAACAUAAUGACAAGAUCAAAAUCUCAUAUAUCAAUACUAACCCAGAAUGUAAAUGGUCUAAAUGCCCGACUUAAAAGGGAUAGCAUGUCAAGUUGGACAAAAAGACAAGCCCCGAUAGUCUGCUGUCUUCAAGACACCCAUCUCUCGUGUGAAGAUACUCACACGUUCAAAGUAAAAGUAUAGAGUAGAUCUACCAAGCAAACAGAAAACAAAAAAGAGCAGGAGUCAUUAUUUUUAUAGCAGAUAAAACAGAUUUUAAACCAACAACAAUCAGGAAGGAUAAAGAAGAGCAGUACAUGAUGAUAAAAGGUUUAAUUCAACAAGAAGACCUGACCAUUCUAAACAUACACGUACCCAAUAUAGGAGCACCCAGAUUCAUAAAACAAAUUUUUCUUGACUAACAAAAAGACUUAGACAGUCACACAAUAAUAGUGGGGGACCUUAACACCCCACUGGCAGUGUUAGAUCAUCAAGGCUGAAAACUAACAAAGAAAAUCUGGGCUUAAACUCGACAUGUGACCAAUUGAACCUAAUAGAUAUCUACAGAG
rnacentral:lncRNA from 1 species